rnacentral:rRNA from 1 species
GAUGAACGCUGGCGGCGUGCCUAACACAUGCAAGUCGAGCGGGGAUUUCCGAAGUAGAAAUGCGGAGGGGGUUCCAGCGGCGGACGGGUGAGUAACACGUGAGCAAUCUGCCUUCAGCUGGGGAAUAACAUUGUGAAAACAGUGCUAAUACCGCAUGACAUCCCUGAUGGGCAUCCAUGGGGGGAUCAAAGGAGCAAUCCGGCAGGAGAUGAGCUCGCGUCCGAUUAGGUAGUUGGUGAGGUAAAGGCCCACCAAGCCGACGAUCGGUAGCCGAACUGAGAGGUUGAUCGGCCACAUUGGGACUGAGACACGGCCCAGACUCCUACGGGAGGCAG